CAUGUGAUCUUGAAAAUGAUAGUAUCCUUCUCUGUAUUUGACUAAUUUUAUUUGAUGUUGUCUUAGAUUUUCUGCUAUGUAAGCUCAACUCUCCUCUUAUUGUUGGCCUGCAUCAGGCCAAUUUCAAACCCGUCAAAACAUAUUAUGGAGAAGCCAGGCUUGAACAAAACCCUCCACAUGGCACUUCCGGAAUUUAGGGCUGAUAUUGUGCAGGGCUGAUAUUGUUCUUUCUCCUCCCCACCACCUCCAUCCCCUCUCCCUUCAUUUCCUGAGGACAACACAUACUGACCAUUGGUAGCAUAGCAAAGAUGUCACACUCCAGAAAGAGUCACACCCUUUUUAAUUCAUCCAUUGCUACA
rnacentral:lncRNA from 1 species